rnacentral:lncRNA from 1 species
AUUCUAAAAACUAUAUAUAUAUAUACACACAUAGAAUCAUGCUAUUAUAUAUUAAUAGCACCAAGUCACUACUGCUAUUAAAUUUUCAGCCCUUAGAUGAAGAGAUGUGCAGUUAGGUUGACGAUGAUUCUCAAGAGUUGAGUGGGUGGUUAGUUGAAUAGUAUUAUCUAACGGAUGAAAAAAAUAAAAGAGAUAAAUUUAACGGCGAAAAAUUUAAUAGCACCAAGCGCUUAACGCUAUCAGUAGUAUAGUAACUGAACUACAUAUAUAUUUAUAUUUAUAUACAGCAUCAUAUCCUAA